UGGCAACCAUUUUACUAAAUGUCGCUGGAGAACUACAUUGUUUGACGGAAGAAUGAUUAUUUGUUAACUAUAAAUUAUUGCUUUUUUGUUGCUGUGUUUUUCUUUUAUGAAACCUUGCCAGGUUUAUGUAGUAACCGUUUUAUAAAAGCAAUAAGCCCCACGAGGCCAUGGUUUACAGUGAUUUUAGAACAGCUGAGGGGUGUUGUUAGGCACAGCCAUGCCCUCUUGGGGCUUAUUGCUUUACUGUUUGAGAUUCAGUUUGUUUAUCAGUGACAUAAUCUCUUUACACAUGUACAGGACAGUAAGUUGUCUCCAUUGGGAUUUAUAUUUGAUAUGCCUUGUGACCUUUGUAAUUCCACUUACCAAAGAGCUUGUAAAUUAUAUGUAAAUAUGACUUUCUGCACAAGUGUGAUUUUGCCACUCACCAGACCCAUCCUUCAUCAGUCCUCCAUUGAAAUAUAGGCGGGAGAAGACUUUGACUUGUGCCAGAAAAUGACCUUUGCCUCGGAAAAGUCAUUGGUAACCCAAUUAAAAGGAAAUGUCACGCUGGUAAUUGCGUCUCACAAUGUGAAUCAUCCGUGCGGGGUGGCUCGCACUGAAUCCAGGGACAGGCUGAUAUGUGGCAUUGAAGUCUCACCGCUUCUAUGUCAUUCCCUGACCUUCUCUUGCACUCUCUCUAGCCACCCUAUUCAGAUUUUUUUCCCCACUUUGAAGCUUCUAUCCAUCUAUCAUUCUGGGGGAUUUUGACAAACUAUCCUUAACAGCACACCUCUCAACUCUGCAGCAAUAUGUCGACUGUCCAACUCGCUCAUCACACAUCCUGGAUCUCUGUUAUGGCAAUAUUGAGGAUGCAUAUAAGGCAAUAUGCAGACCUCUGACUGGCAAAUCAGACCAGAACGUCAUCCACUUAUUGCCAAAGUACAGACGAAUUCAAGUCUGGGAUAAAGCUGUAAAGACAGGAGCAACGCCAUCUGUGCCAGCAUACCCAGAAACCCCACAAUCCAGCUGUCUGAGGAGGAGGUUGGCAUCUGCCGCUCUCCGAUUAAGCCCCAUAAAGCACUUGAACCUGAUGGCCUACAUGGACAUACUCCAUCCAGCUAAGGAGCUCUGUGAGGAUUUGCACUGAAAGAUUGACACAGUGGAUGAUGAGCACUACGAUACUGAGGUGAAGGUGGCCAAGUAUAAGAAAAAGGGGCUGUCCAAGCAUCACCCUCCAUUCAUCCGUUCAUUCUUUACUGAUGCAUGAAAGAAGGGGGAGGUGGAAGGAAUGAAGUGCAUUGGCAGGAAGAUCACGCUUCACCCCACUGGAUAAAUAAAGUUAACUGCCCCACAGACAAUAUACAAUAUGUGUCUAAUAAUAAAAUCCAAGCAAGACUUUGUAUGGUUAUAUUCCAAUUAUAUUCUUAUCCAGAGCAACAGUGAGUGAGCUGGUAGUGUUUCAGUGGAUUAUUGAAACAUAUAUGUUGACCAGUAUGAACAGUAAGUAUAUAUAAAAUACCUAUAACAAAAAUACUGUGUCCCAAUCCCCCAUAGUCUUGCUCAUGUCAUAUUGCCUUUUUUUCAUACUGAACAGAUGGCCUUGUUGUGAUUGGACACAGAUGGGGUUUCCGUGGUAAUAUCAAACAUCCCACACAAUGUUAUAUUUGCCCCGGCUUUGACUCCCAAGCAGAAAUGAUUUCAAAGGUUUAUUGUCUGCUGCUGUCUUAUGUGUCACUGUGCUGAAACAAGCAAGAAAUAAGCCAUGAGAACCCCCCCUAUUUUGCCAUAAAUUGAUAAUAAUACAGUCAAAAUGGCUUAAGAUGAAGUG